GGGCAUGCCGGGUAGGAGUCUGGCAUAAGCGAACCCUUGGAGGUGAGACAGAGAAGAGAGCUCCCAGCACUGGUAGGCGAGCUAAGUGAGGCAAAGCUUGAGCUAAGGGGGCUUCGUGGGCAGGAUUACAAACACACUCUGGAUGUGACGAGCGACCGUGAGAUACUUCAACCUAGAGAGGCGAUGUUUGCGAAGGCUGCUGCAUACAGAACUCACCUGACUGGGGUCCUUUUCAUUCUGCUUGAAUGAAUGGCACAGAGGGUCAUUAUGGCCCCUUCCACACACACCCGGAUUCCACUGUGCGGGGAGUGACAGGUUCACUGUGCACCGGAGAUGCCUUCAGGGUCCAGGCUCCAGUCAGAGCAUCUGUCCUUCUCUGUCCUCACUGGAUAAAGCAGGUCCAGCCUGAAGUCUGCAUUUGGGAUGUGGGCGGAUCACAUGAUCUCAGAGCAGCUACCUGGCAGGAGACUUGAAGAUGGUUUCCAAAUCCAGCUUAUUUAAGGCGCUAUGGACAGCACCUGCCACAAGAGGGAGCAGUUCGUGAAUGGUAGCAACAAGUGUGACUGUGUGGUGAUGGAAAGAGAAUCAGGGAGAGAAAAAAGAAUUCUGCGGAAGAGAAGACGACUGGUCCCAGCCUCUGGGACAGACCUUACUGUCUGUCCUUCCUCAUCUGUCUACACACGGGGCUACGUGACCUAGAGAAGGCUCCGGAACCGUGAUGAGUCCUUCCUACCUUGGCCCCAACCUGUACCUGUUGGACAAUACUCCAAGUGCUUGCUUGCAGAUGUUGUAAAUUUCUUCUUCCUCUUUAUUUUUCCCCUAAAGUUCUUGUCCUAUUUAUUAUUUGUGGCAAAAAGUCAAUAUAAAAAACUGGAAAUGAAUCCAUGAAACGA